UACGGAGGGCGAAAGCGUUGCUCGGAAUUACUGGGCGUAAAGCGCGUGCAGGCGGUCGAGUAAGUCGGUUGUGAAAUCCCCAGGCUCAACCUGGGAACCGCAUCCGAAACUGCUCGGCUAGAGUCCCGGAGAGGGAGGCGGAACUCCCAGUGUAGGGGUGAAAUCCGUAGAUAUUGGGAAGAACACCGGCGGCGAAAGCGGCCUCCUGGACGGUGACUGACGCUGAGACGAGAAAGCGUGGGGAGCAAACAGG
rnacentral:rRNA from 1 species